UACAUCGGAACGUGUCCCGUAGUGGGGGAUAGCCCGGCCGAAAGCCGGAUUAAUACCGCAUAUGCUCUACGGAGGAAAGUGGGGGACUUGGCAACAAGCCUCACGCUAUGGGAGCGGCCGAUGUCCGAUUAGCUUGUUGGCGGGGUAAUGGCCCACCAAGGCGACGAUCGGUAGCUGGUCUGAGAGGAUGAUCAGCCACACUGGGACUGAGACACGGCCCAG
rnacentral:rRNA from 1 species